rfam:Pan troglodytes isolate Yerkes chimp pedigree #C0471 (Clint) chromosome 19, whole genome shotgun sequence.
GCCAGGCAUGUUGGUGCAGGCCUGUAGUCCCAGCUACUCAGGAGGCUGAGGCAGGAGGAUCGCUGGAGCCCAGGAGCUCUGGGAUGUCGUGAGCUAUGCUGAUUGCAUCUCCACACUAAGUUUGGCAUCAAUAUGGUGACCUCCCAGGAAUGGGGGACCACCAUGUUGCCCAAGGAGGGGUGAACACUGCCAUGCUGGAAAUGGAGCAGGUCAAAACUCCUGUGCUUUUGCCAGGCGCAGUGGCUCAUGCCUGUAAUCCCAGCACUUUGGGAGGCCAAGGCAGGCGAAUCAUUUGAGGUCAGGAGUUCAAGACCAGCCUGGCCAACAUGGUGAAACCCCAUAUCUA